rnacentral:lncRNA from 1 species
UUUUACAAUACAAAAAAAAAGAGAAAAAAUUAUUAAUCAAAGUCCUAUUACACAAGGUUCUACUACAAUUUAAUUUGUUGUUUCCUCCUUCUUCCCACUAGCUCACUCGUUUGUGUUUCCCCGGCAAAAAUCCUACAAUAGUACAUCAACUGCAAGCAUCCAUAAGUCCUUGCAGAUCAACAAUGUAGGCAUGCAUUCAGAGCAGCAGCAAAGCAUUAUCAUUAUCCAUACAUACACCCAAACACAUAUGGAUGCAUUCAUGUUCUAUCUUAUGUCAUAAGAAUCAUCCAAAAACAUUUAUGCAUACAUAUCAACAACCAUGCAUACCUUGUAAAAAUGUUGCAGCAACAAUGCAUAACAACAUUGCAGUUCCAUCAUGAGCAGCACAACAACAAUAACAGGGCAGCAAAAGUAAUCACCAAACAACAUUAUUCCACAUACCAAGCUGCAGUCCACUUAUCAAAGAAGGCAUGGCAUGAACCCACAGUUCCUUCAUCAUUAGAGUUGGCAGCAGGGUCAUUGAUUUUUGUUACACCAAGUCCAACAACCCAUACCUACAGCAACCAAUAAAAUGAAGUCUGGCCGAGCAUAUCAUAGCACACUGCAUCAUUAGAAACUAACUUUCACUAGGCAUGGUAUUAAGAUUGCAGCAAAGAAGAUCAACAACUUAACAGUAACUUAACUCUUUGAAUUGUUGAAUCGCGAUGCUAUCGAGGAGCGCUAUCCAUAAACACAAAACUGGAGCUGUGAAUCGUGUUUCAGCUUAUGGACAGAAGCACUUUUCUCCUUUAUGUUUGUUUGAACAAUGUAACCUACGAUUGAUCCUGAUCUCGAAUCAUGAUGCGAUUGUGUUGAGAACACGAAUUCACAAGCGGAUAUGAUGAAAAUGUGAUGCGAAGAACACGAUGAUAAACUCUGCUAACGUGAUGCAAUGAGACGCGAUGAUGUUGCUCAAGCCAAAACGCGAUACAGACUUU